rnacentral:rRNA from 1 species
AACGAACGCUGGCGGCAGGCCUAACACAUGCAAGUCGAGCGAACCCUUCGGGGUUAGCGGCGGACGGGUUAGUAACGCGUGGGAAUAUACCCUUUGGUACGGAAUAGCCUCGGGAAACUGAGAGUAAUACCGUAUGUGCCCUUCGGGGGAAAGAUUUAUCGCCAAAGGAUUAGCCCGCGUUGGAUUAGAUAGUUGGUGGGGUAAUGGCCUACCAAGUCUACGAUCCAUAGCUGGUUUGAGAGGAUGAUCAGCAACACUGGGACUGAGACACGGCCCAGACUCCUACGGGAGGCAGCAGUGGGGAAUCUUAGACAAUGGGCGCAAGCCUGAUCUAGCCAUGCCGCGUGGACGAUGAAGGCCUUAGGGUUGUAAAGUCCUUUCAGAUGGGAAGAUAAUGACGGUACCAUCAGAAGAAGCCCCGGCUAACUCCGUGCCAGCAGCCGCGGUAAAGUAGACGUUCU